rnacentral:misc_RNA from 1 species
AUCCAAAGACACCACUUACUGAAGACAACAAGCUACACAAACCUUGGGAAAUUUGAUAGUUGGAAGAUUAGAGAACAAAUUGGCACCAUAUUGCAGUAUUGGAAGGUAAAAAUGAUUCAAUGCACUUUCACCGAUGCUUCAGCUUUGAAUCGUCUUCGCGACUCGCACCCGAGCCGGCAUUUCGACGCCAUGUUGUUACCAACGAACUCUGUUUCUGGAUUGAAGAGGCUGUGACAGAUAAUCAGUCAACGAACUUCAGUCAACGCGCCAUAUUUUGAUUGAGAAGCAUGCCCAAAACUCAUCAAGAUGUCUCAGUUUCUCGGUUCUAUACUCGAGUGAUAGGCAGAUACACAAUUUUGGGACCGGAAUCGCCG